rnacentral:rRNA from 1 species
UGAGGAAUAUUGGGCAAUGCCCGCAAGGGUGACCCAGCAACGCCGCGUGGAGGAUGAAUGUCGUAAGAUUGUAAACUCCUGUUAGAGGGGAAGAAUAGUACCGGUUGGACCGGUAUAUGACUGUACCCUCAGAGAAAGCCCCGGCUAACUACGUGCCAGCAGCCGCGGUAAUACGUAGGGGGCAAGCGUUGUCCGGAUUUACUGGGUGUAAAGGGCGCGCAGGCGGGAUAAAAAGUCAGUGGUGAAAUCCUACAGCUUAGCUGUAGAACUGCCUUUGAUACUUUUAUUCUUGAGUUCGGGAGAGAGAGGCGGAAUUCCAGGUGUAGUGGUGAAAUACGUAGAUAUCUGGAAGAACACCAGUUGCGAAGGCGGUCUCUUGGUCCGACACUGACGCUGAGGCGCGAAAGCGUGGGGAGCAAACA